rnacentral:lncRNA from 1 species
GUGCCAACUUUCCCAGAUAAGAAGUUGUUUGUCACAGACCACAGCGGAGCCAGCGUCAUCUUGUAAUGGCGACCAUAGUCUGCAGAAACGGCAGAAGCGGCUCACCACACACGAGGGUUAGGAACAGGGAUCCCGAGCUCUGUCUGAGGUCACAGUCAGCUGCACCCCUGGCCCUUUUUUUUUGAGACAGGGUCCAGCUAAAUCGCUGAGGCUGGCCUUCAACUCGGGAUCCUCCUGCCUCAGCCUCCCAAGCUGCUGGGGUGACAGGCGUGGGCCCCUGCGCUCGGUGCCUUUGUACUGUCUCUGACUGUGGCUGCUGAGGCAGAAGCUCAGGUGACUUUCCGAGUGGGUGGUGUCCCGUGAUCCUGACUUAGUCAUUUAUUUUCUUGGCCCCAUCUAGCAUUAGCUCUGCACCUUGCAGAUGCUUCUGAGUCUUUCCUACCCAGCACUAUGAUCUGAAGUGACAGUGACGAUGGCAGCAGCCUCCUUCCCGUCUUCAUUCACUUCCUUCCGUAUCUGGCUUCUUGAGCCCAUCUGACCGCAGAGUUGUGCUGAGCAGAAAGGACAGCAAGGGACAGGCCUCCUGUCCUCGUCUGGUCCUCAGGACGAAGGCGUCGGUGCGUCACCCUGAGUGACGGUGUCGGCUGCGGGUGAGCACACGCGUGUGGUCAGCAGACAUGCUCUAUCUCAUUAAGAAACUUCUGGAAGCCUUGAUCCUGAAAGGUGUGAAUUCCACCCACCUGUUUCCCUGUCGGCUGGUUUUGGCCCACGGUGGCACCUGCAGGUCCCCCAAGCGAGGAGGGUGGGUGGCUGGUCUCAGGCCAGAUCUUCCCAGAGGGCACCCUGCAGGGAGCCCAGAUGGACAGGUGCAGGGGGGACACGCCCUGGGCCCCAGCCAACCCCCGGCAGGGCCUGUUUCCUUCCAGAACCCAGCGAGCCAAGAGCAGGGGCUGCCCGGGCUGCUCUUGUGCCUGGGUCCCCUUCCAGAAGAUUCUGGACAGAUGAGGAGGCUGUGGCUUGGAGGCCGUCACAGGAGAGCCAGCGGGUUCCAGAUUCUGGGUCCAAGUCCCACAGACACCUCAGGCCACUGGGCCAAAGCUGUGCCUCCAGAAAAGAGCCACGGUACGUGUGGUUUCUGCUGUGUCUGUUCAGCCCCACAUCCCAGGGCAAGUCCCUGUUCCCGCCAGACCAGGGGACGUUGGGAACCUGAGUUACCAGUGACAGACGCCAGAGGAAAACCGCUUCAGCCUCCCAGGAGGGGAUUUCUUGAUUCACAGGUAUAAAGAGUCUUCGGGGGUGGGGGGGUGGGGGGGUGGGGGGAGAAAUGCCUUCAGGUGCGGCUAGAUCAAGGUGCUCAGACACCGUCCCCAAGAAUGUGAGUUUCUCCAAAUUCGGCUCCGCUUUCUCCUCUAGGGGGAAGGCACACUCUUCCUUUGGGGGGGCCAAGAAGUCUG